ensembl:lncRNA
AGCAGUGAUUGAGCACCUGGUGGAAGGCAGGGCCAACCCAGGGGAGCUCAGGUGCAUGCAAUGUACCUGAGUGACUGGAAGGGUGAAGCCAGGAUGCACCCCUUCCCAGACCUCAUUUAGGGGUUGACAGUGGAGGUGAGAGUAUUUUGCUGGAGAUCCUUGUUGUACCUGAGGCCUUCUGGUGGGUUUCCAAAUGGAAAAUGGUGGCUAUCAGCAUGGGUCUUCCAGAGCUCAUCUGCACAGCUCACUGAUCUUCAUUUGCAGGAGGUCUUUGCACCUGACUUUGCCUGUUUGAUGUGCUAUGGUGUUAUUUCCAGCUAUCAGGGAAAGACAAGGCUUUCAAGGGCUGACCUAGUUGAGUUUGCAGGAUCCUAAGGGUUUUGUCUGGAGCUAAAGCAAAUCCCAUUUAGGACCAAGGAAAUACAUCCUUUCAAGAGACCAAGUGAAACUGCCCACAGACAGAGGUCUCUCCUCCCUCGCUUCCAUGCCCACCCCUUGUCUUGGUGCAGCUGUGGUGAUGUUUUACUUGGGCUGGUUGUUAACGCUGAUGUUAAAGACAUCCCUGAUGGCACAACGACAAGGCUGGGUGUUAGGGUUAAUGCUGGGUGUUUUUUGUCCUUGUGCAUCUGACAGUACUAUGCGGGAGCUUUGGGCUUCGUAUGCAGAGCCCUUGAGACCAGAAAGUUACAAAAGCAUCCUUGGGGACCAGCUGCUGGGUGUGAUUUUUCUGUCGACUGUUGGCCUUCCAGAUGUAGGCUCUGUCCAUCUGCCCCAGCUUGCAAAAAUACUCCACCUUGGCAUCAGUGCCAGUGUUCCACUGUGGUGGGGGGAUCUCAUUGCUCCCUUCCUGCUGGAAUCAACUGAAAUUCAAGACCACCCCAGGCUCAGUGAUGACUCGAUCGUGCCAUUUGAUCUCCUGGGGCUCCCUUGAGGAUGGUUCUUGCUCCUUCAGUUCCUGUAGGUUACCUGAUGCAGAAAAAGUACUAUUUAGUGCCCAUAGCUAACGCAUCAUGAUGACAAAAGAGCCCAAGUGUAGUUGGCUGCAAGCCUGCCCACAGCUUUGCAGGGAUAAGAGGUAGAAGAUCAGUCUACCACUUGUUUAGAGCCUCAGGGUGCUGCUUCAUUCCCAUGCAUCACCAAGUGAUUGGCAGAGAUCCAUACGGACAUCCAUCUACCCCACUGGGCUUCAUCUCAUUAGGGAGCCAAAUGUGGCAUUGCCUUACCUCAAUAGCAAGAACUCACAUUUGGGUAGGCUGGCAUGGCUGGUCUGGCAGGCCCAUCUGUGCAUAAAGGUGGUAUUUUAUUAUUAUAACUAUUAGUGACCAAAAGCCUGCCGUGGAAGUAGGGGUUGGUCAAAGGAUGUCAUCCUUCCACUUGGGACAAUUGCCCACAGCAAGCAGCCUUUGCAUCGCGGCAGAGCAGAGAUGUCUGUGCUGGAUCUAACCUGGGAUCUAACGUGCCUCGCUGGGGUCUCCAUUCUGCACAGAAACAUGCUUUCUGCUCGUUGCAAACACUGGGGAGUAGAGCAGAGGUCUUUGGAAGUCUUUGUGCGCACCAAAGUGAGGAACCCGUCCAGCUCUCAGCAUCCUUUUUUCAGCACACUGCUGUCCCUAAAGCACCAGCUGCCGUCGCAGGGAGGGGUCACAAGGAAUUAAAGCUCGGGACCAUCUCUUGGGAUCAAAGAAAGGCGAGGACACAAGAGACAGCUGAUGAGGGGAAAAACACAGCAUUGUGCUGGUGGGGAAAUUCUUCAGCCUUCACAUCUGAAAGAGGCUUUGCUUCGCUGGACAGCAAGCGCUGUCUGUUCACCAGGCUGAACAUCCUCUGCCUCCAAUAUAGAUGUCACCAGCUGCUUUGGGAUCACUCAGGCUCCUUGUAUGUUCCUUCUUGCUCCCUGAUGCAGCCUUCCUGUAAAAGCUACCAUCGUCCUCUUUGGAAUUUCCUUCCCACAAAAGCUUUAGGAGAGAAUUUUGUAGGAGUGACUCAAGUGUGGAGCAAAGAUGAGCUUUGACGUAGGUGAAAGUGUGUGAUUGAAUCAAGUCUUCUGAGUUCAAGAACCUCUUCUGGUGCAGGAGGGGAUCACGGCCACUGAAAGCUGGGCUUUUUUUACCCACAAACUCUGGUGAAGGGUUUUGCACUAUGGCAGGAGCAACGAGCACCAAUAAGGGAGAUACUCAUCCUGCUCUUGCAGGGACAAGCUUGAAGUUCUACCCACUGUCUCUCAGUGCCCAAGGGUUGUUUCAUGGAGCAUGGAAAGAUCUCAUUAUUUUGUCAGUAAAAAGUAUUUAUGGCUUUCUUCUUUAAAUAACUUUAGACACCAUCCCUGGAGGUGUUCCAGAGCCAUGGAGAUGUGGCAUUGAGGGACAUGGUCAGUGGGCAUGGUGGGAUGGGUUGGGCUUGAUCUUAGAAGACUUUUCCAACCUUAAUGAUUCUGUGGUCAGAAAAAAGAAAAGGGAAAGAAGGAAA